ACAGAGUCAAUGUGGAGGCUAUAUACAGGGGGUACCGGUACAGAGUCAAUGUGGAGGCUAUAUACAGGGGGUACCGGUACAGAGUCAAUGUGGAGGCUAUAUACAGGGGGUACCGGUACAGAGUCAAUGUGGAGGCUAUAUACAGGGGGUACCGGUACAGAGUCAAUGUGGAGGCUAUAUACAGGGGGUACGGUACAGAGUCAAUGUGGAGGCUAUAUACAGGGGGUACUGGUACAGAGUCAAUGUGGAGG
ensembl:lncRNA